rnacentral:lncRNA from 1 species
CAUCACUGACAAUAAGCAUGAAUGACAUCCAGUUGAGGGCUGUUUUGCCCUAUCUCCUGUUUGCAACAUGUAUCCAUGGAGCGACUGUCAAUCAGAAUCCCAGCGAUCUAAUAAUGAAAGCUGGGGGUUCAGCCAGCAUCUCCUGCUCCCAUGAUGACAACAGCUUGCAUUAUUUUUACUGGUACCAGCAACACCCAGGCAAAGGCAUUGAGCUUAUUGCCAACAUCAUCACUUCUCAGAAGCCAGAAUUUGAACAGAGCUUCAAAAAUCAGUCGGAACGAUAUGACAUACAAAAGCCUAACACGCUGACUGGAUCUUUCGUCAUUAAAAGUUUACAGACAUCCGACAGCGCUGUGUACUUCUGCGCGGCAACAAACACGUCAGUAAAACCUGGCUUUCUCUAAUGCAAAAAGUCCUGCGACACAUAGUUCCUGCCACCAGGUAGAGACAUUAUUCAUCAUUCUAUACAUUCACUUCCAAAUGGGCAGAAUUAUCAGAGUGGAAAUGGACGCCUUGUCUUAUCAGUGUCCGUCCUGGGAAGUCUGUGAUGAAAUCUGCUAUAUAGAAAAUAAUGAGAACAUGAAAGACAAUGUACCACAUUCUUAGUGCUAUCACGGUAAAACUACUUUGUAGCCUCAUGCAACCAUUCCAUAUAUCGGAGCUCCUUAUUAUUUUUGUCGCAAUGGAUUCUUAAGUGUUUUCGGUGUGUAGCAAUCCCAAACUUUACCUGCUAAGAGGUUUUGGUAUAGCUGUCAAAAUUAUUACGGAAUUAGACAUUUCUGGUUUUCUGAGUUUUUGGUGUGGAAUGACAUUAGAAGCUCCUACAGAAAAGCUUCAGCUGCCUUGAUCGUGAGAAAGCAUCUUCAUGAAAAAUGGUUCAGAACUUGUUUCACAUCCAUUCAUCCAUUUCCAAGUUCUAGUUUGCUUUUCUUUGCUUAACGGUAUUUAUACUUAAGGAUUAUUGUCUUUAGUACGCAUUGUGUCAAAAUUCCACUUGCCAACUGUGAAGGUAAUAAUAAACACAGCGAAUGAGCACCA